rnacentral:ribozyme from 13 species
UUGCAUCCCCGACGAAGAGCCAGGUGGGGCAGGAGGAGCACGUUGAGGGGCUCUGGGGGGUGUCCGGGAAGGCCGCAUGAGAGGAGAUGCCAUGGCCGGAGACAUAGAUGGU